rnacentral:rRNA from 1 species
GAUGAACGCUGGCGGCGUGCCUAAUACAUGCAAGUCGAGCGAACAGAUAAGGAGCUUGCUCCUUUGACGUUAGCGGCGGACGGGUGAGUAACACGUGGGUAACCUACCUAUAAGACUGGGAUAACUUCGGGAAACCGGAGCUAAUACCGGAUAACAUUUGGAACCGCAUGGUUCUAAAGUGAAAGAUGGUUUUGCUAUCACUUAUAGAUGGACCCGCGCCGUAUUAGCUAGUUGGUAAGGUAACGGCUUACCAAGGCGACGAUACGUAGCCGACCUGAGAGGGUGAUCGGCCACACUGGAACUGAGACACGGUCCAGACUCCUACGGGAGGCAGCAGUAGGGAAUCUUCCGCAAUGGGCGAAAGCCUGACGGAGCAACGCCGCGUGAGUGAUGAAGGGUUUCGGCUCGUAAAACUCUGUUAUUAGGGAAGAACAAACGUGUAAGUAACUGUGCACGUCUUGACGGUACCUAAACAGAAAGCCACGGCUAACUACGUG